rnacentral:rRNA from 1 species
UACGUAGGGUGCGAGCGUUGUCCGGAAUUAUUGGGCGUAAAGGGCUCGUAGGCGGUUUGUCGCGUCGGGAGUGAAAUCCACUGGCUUAACUGGUGGCUUGCUUUCGAUACGGGCAGACUGGAGUACUGCAGGGGAGACUGGAAUUCCUGGUGUAGCGGUGGAAUGCGCAGAUAUCAGGAGGAACACCGGUGGCGAAGGCGGGUCUCUGGGCAGUAACUGACGCUGAGAAGCGAAAGCAUGGGGAGCGAACAGG